UUCUUUAUAAGUAUAUCUGCUUACUGGCUAGCUCCAACUCUAGUCUUACAGUCAACUGUGUCCUGCCUUCUUUAAAAUGACCAGUCACAUGUGCCUUUCAAAUGCCACUUCACGUCUACAGUUAUAUUCUGGUCUUGUCAAGUAGAGGUGGAGAGAGGACUUCCACAGUAUCUCCAUUCAGCCAGUGUGGAGCCCCUACAUUACCAAACCCCCAAGAGAGCCACAGAACCAGAACACUGUCCACAUUCAAUACACAGAGUGGCAGAUGUUCCCUGAGGAUCGUUUGAAAUACUGUAUGAGGGUCCAUUGCUGUUUUUGAGAAACGCUGGCAUAAUGGACACCGUGUAAGAGGGUAUUGACACAGCUUUUCGGUGUCCGUUAAGGGGGGGAAAGCAGUCUUUUUACUGGGUUUCGUUUAAAUGAAUGGAGGUAUUAUGGAGAUGUCACAGCAACGGACCCCUGCUGAUGUAUAUGAGCAUUCAGUGGUCAACUGACGGGUUACAGAGAGGUUAUUUUUUAAACGAAUGUAUUAAUAUAUAUGAAUUAAAGUGACAUUUAUGCAUGAAG